rnacentral:rRNA from 1 species
UACAGAGGUCUCAAGCGUUGUUCGGAUUCAUUGGGCGUAAAGGGUGCGUAGGUGGCGCUGUAAGUCGGGUGUGAAAUUUCGGAGCUUAACUCCGAAACUGCAUUCGAUACUGCGGUGCUUGAGGACUGGAGAGGAGACUGGAAUUCAUGGUGUAGCAGUGAAAUGCGUAGAUAUCGUGAGGAAGACCAGUGGCGAAGGCGGGUCUCUGGACAGUUCCUGACACUGAGGCACGAAGGCCAGGGGGAGCAAAACGGGG